GGACAAACUGCUAUUGGCGAGGUGUAGGCGAUUGCUAAUUGUCUGAGUUUUUCUCUUANGAGUUCGAAUCUCCUUUUGUCCA
rnacentral:tRNA from 1 species